CCUACGGGUGGCAGCAGUGAGGAAUAUUGGUCAAUGGACGAGAGUCUGAACCAGCCAAGUAGCGUGAAGGAUGACUGCCCUAUGGGUUGUAAACUUCUUUUAUAUGGGAAUAAAAUGUUCCACGUGUGGGAUUUUGUAUGUACCAUAUGAAUAAGGAUCGGCUAACUCCGUGCCAGCAGCCGCGGUAAUACGGAGGAUGCGAGCGUUAUCCGGAUUUAUUGGGUUUAAAGGGUGCGCAGGCGGAAGAUCAAGUCAGCGGUAAAAUUGAGAGGCUCAACCUCUUCGAGCCGUUGAAACUGGUUUUCUUGAGUGAGUGAGAAGUAUGCGGAAUGCGUGGUGUAGCGGUGAAAUGCAUAGAUAUCACGCAGAACUCCGAUUGCGAAGGCAGCAUACCGGCGCUCAACUGACGCUCAUGCACGAAAGUGUGGGUAUCGAACAGGAUUAGAUACCCCAGUAGUC
rnacentral:rRNA from 1 species